rnacentral:rRNA from 1 species
UACGUAGGGGGCCAGCGUUGUCCGAAGUUACUGGGCGUAAAGCGCGCGUAGGCGGGCCCUUAAGUGGGUGGUGAAAGGCGCCGGCUCAACCGGCGCACUGCCGUCCAUACUGGGGGCCUUGAGUGCGGGAGGGGCGAGUGGAAUUCUUGGUGUAGCGGUGAAAUGCGUAGAUAUCAAGAGGAACACCCAUGGCGAAGGCAGCUCGCUGGCCCGCCACUGACGCUGAGGCGCGAAAGCCGGGGGAGCGAACAGG